GCCAGACUCCUACGGGAGGCAGCAGUGGGGGAUAUUGCACAAUGGGGGAAACCCUGAUGCAGCGACGCCGCGUGGGCGAAGAAGUAUUUCGGUAUGUAAAGCCCUAUCAGCAGGGAAGAAGAAAUGACGGUACCUGAGUAAGAAGCACCGGCUAAAUACGUGCCAGCAGCCGCGGUAAUACGUAUGGUGCAAGCGUUAUCCGGAUUUACUGGGUGUAAAGGGAGCGCAGGCGGCACGGCAAGCCUGAUGUGAAAGGCCGCGGCCCAACCGCGGGACUGCAUUGGGAACUACCGGGCUGGAGUGCCGGAGAGGUAGGCGGAAUUCCUAGUGUAGCGGUGAAAUGCGUAGAUAUUAGGAAGAACACCAGUGGCGAAGGCGGCUUGCUGGACAGUAACUGACGUUGAGGCUCGAAAGCGUGGGGAGCAAACAGGAUUAGAUACCCCAGUAA
rnacentral:rRNA from 1 species